AGCCCAGCACACAAAAUAAGAACUGUUUUCUUUCCACGCAGCUGGUGCACCCUUUCAGCCGGUCCCAGCUGCCGAGAGUCGCGCACCCGGCGGGCCACGCCCCUAAAUGAAUAUUCAUGACUACGCUCAGCGACCCGGAUUUGAAAGCGUUUAAGGGGAUUAGAAAGAAAAAGCGUGGAAGCAACCAAAACAUUAAAGAAAAGUUUUGAAAGUCAAAAAACAAAAGAAAACAAAACCCAACCAACUGACCAACAACAACAACAAAAAGCAGCAGAGACCCAAAAUGGAAACAGGAAUGUUGGCCUCUAGGGAGAAAUGCAGAGCGAGUAUCAAGUGAGUACACUCCAACUAGAAAGGAUGCUAUUUGUCUUUCAAGAUGAGGAGUUGGGAAGAGGGAUACCAUUGGUGAGUUCCCAGGAGUAAAGGUAAAAGCCUCUUUACCUUCUGCCCGAAUCUCCCAGGACCACAGGGGAU